rnacentral:lncRNA from 15 species
AUGUCUGCUCCCGAGGACUGCUGGGAAAAAAAAAAAAAAGGCACAGCAUCGCGAUCAUGGUCAAUUCUCAGUUGUAGACGCAUCUGUUUUCAUCAGCUUUUCAGAUGGAGGCGUAUGUAUCCUUCCCACAGGGAAUGCAAACUUUUCAUUCUGACAGACUUCCCUCCGAUGCAGACGUUUACAUACAUCACUGCGGCAUGUUCAGCAAGUUACUUUAGCCCUUUGGACACUGACGGGAGCAUUUAUGACACGCUGCUUGGGUUUAUGUAUUCUCAAAACAUGAUUAAUGUAUAGUAGAACUUAAAUGUUAUUUACCAAGCAUAAACAUGGUAUAUGCACUGUAUGUACUUGGCUGAAACUAUAAAUUGGACAAAUAAAUGUCUGAUGAUAUUCUAUUCCAGAGCAUUGUGAGCUAUUUUGACAUUCAGAUACAACAUAGAGUACAUUGAAUAAGCCAGAAUAUUGUUUUUUAUAACAACUUGUGUGUAUAUUUCUCCCAGUAUGUACAUGAUUACGGAGUAUUAUUGCAUCUGAGAAAGAGGAUAUCAAUGUAACUCUCCUUCUGUAGUUAAAUAGUCCCAUUUAUGACGUUGCUUAAAUAUGGUAUUGAUUUUUUUGGCUAAGAUUUGAACUUAUUUUUCUAUCUUUUACACAUUUUUGCUGUUCCGAUGAGUUGAAGUAAACGAGACUGACCAGCCACAGAUAACUCAUAUUUAAAUUGUCUAACUUUGAUGAUUUUUCAGUGCCGUUACCAUUAUUAUUUUGGUUUUACUGCUGAAAUAGUUAUGGUGACAAUAACUAAAAGUUCUCAUUGCAUGGUGAAAGAGAAAGAAAUAAAUCAAUGCUGAAUGACAAAUAUAUUCUAUACCAUACCACUGAAGGCUUUGUUAUGGUAUAUUUGACCAGAGGUGGGCAAGUGGGAAGAUUCCCACAGAUUGUGAAAUUUGGAUGGAAAGUUAAAGAGAAAUGUUAUGAGUUGCUAAACGACAAAAAGCUGGGCCGACUACAUUUCUAAGAACUGUGUCUUACAGUUUGUCUGAUCAUUUUGUAUUUGAAUCCCAGUGUCAUAUCUUCAUUGGCCCUGGAAUGUGGGAUAAAGUUUAUAGAGUUUGUUCAGCUUUCUUUGAAGAGUUCCUCUGAGCUCAGAAGCCCUCAAAACUGGGGUCAACUCCUCCUGAUGUAAGGAUCCCACUUUUGGACAAAAAAAGUUAAAGAUGUUAAAAAUGUUUGCUGUCCAUCUCCAUUCCAUCUGUUGUUACCAAAAAUGGCUUUUUGGAGAUGCAGACUCCCUCAGAUAUCUGGCAUCAUUAACUUCUUAGCUUGUGAAAAUGUAAAAUCUAUUGUACAAAAGUUAUGAUUAAAAACUGUUAAAUCAUCCAGACUGUUUGUACGUGGCAUUAUUUCACUGGACAUAGAUGAGAGGACACCAUCAGACGAACAGGCAGGCACAUGGAAAAGACAGAUCGGGGUCAUGAAGGAUUAAGGAAAGUUUGAGGUCAUCGCAGGUGAUGCCGAGAGCCUGAUAAGACCUUACGAGUUAAUGACCUCGGGUUACCCAGCCAGAGGAAACGUAAAGAGCAAAGAGAUGAAACCAGACAAAG